UUUUUUUUGGCGUGUAAGGCACUCUUCCUCCACUCUCACCGCCUCCAUUUGUUUCUUCACCCCAGGUUUGCCAAUGGUUUUCUCCCUCCAGUUUCCAUCUUCCAUUUAGACUGGUGAGUCAUGCAUGUAGCCUUGCCACUGUCUCAUUCUAGCUGGCCACGUGCAUCGAUACCAGAGAGAAUACAACUGUCCACUUCUCUUUUUUCCUUUCCAAAUAUACCGCCAUACAUGACUUUCUUUUCUCUCGAUCGUUUCAUUCUCUCAUUUCUCACUGCUUACCCGUUUUCUUUCCUCUACUUCAAAGAACACACCGAUCUGCCAUCCAUUUUUUUCUGCUUCCCCCUUAUCAUAUUGUGCUUUGGUGAAGUAAAUUGGCGCAUGAAAGAAUCUUCUUCUAUUAACUCCUUACCACCACUCCUCUGUCAUCAAUGCCGAAAGCUGAUCGAUUGUGUAUUAUAACAUCCCUAGCCCUUCCAACGUCUAUAUGCCCAUCGAUUUUUUAUCUUCAUCUCUUAUGCAUUAACAAUUUUAACUGGCAAGUCAAUUAGGAUUUACUUGAAUUGUCGAUUGUCUGUCUACAUCCGUUUCUAUUCAUAGGUUGUUUCGUUUUAAAUUUUAACUGAUUUUGCUCUAAUAUAUUUGAUAUUUUUGCAUUUUCAUUCUCGGUGGUGGUGAAGGAAUUUGACGCAAGCUUCGAAAUGCAGGGCCUGGUAUGUUCUUUCGUCACUAAUCUGUCAUUUUUAGUUAUAUUUCUCUUCCUUUUUUGUCUCUAUCUAGAGAACGCAGUGAGUUUUUCCACUUCUCUAUUCCACACAAAAGCCCAAUUUGAUUGCAUAUAUGAAAUAUAGAUGCGAGAAAUAACAUUGUCAGCUAUAAGUUCUAGGAUUUGUUGUUCCAUAAUUGUAGUUCCGUUCUUCAGUGGAUUAUGGUGUUGACUUUUUUUGUUGAAAUUAUGUGAUUUAAAAAAAGUUUUUUGUAGUGUUAAAUGGCGCUAGAAUGCUUGUAUCAUUUUUAAGUUUGACAUAUUUUGCACCAUUUAGUCUUCGCCGUUUAGGUUCUUGUUGGAUGCAUCCUUUCUAUUGAACAUAUAAGUUAUUUAAACAUGUUUUGUAAAGUAAAAUGAUUAUCAGUCUAUAAUAUAAUUCUCCCUUCUAACUGGAUGGAAAGUUCAAGGUUGGUUGCGUGCGUCGCUUUUCAAUUGUUUAUUUUUAAGUUUGAGUCAUGCAAAUAUGGUUUCAUGAUUAUGUUCUAAAACCAACUUGUUUUGUAUAGCGGCUUUCCUAUGUUUCUUCUGGUAUAUCAAACAUAUCACAUAGAUUCAUAUAAUGUUUUGGGAAAAUUGCAAGAAUAGGAACGUACUUUAAUCCUACCGACAUAGGCUAUGUGCUUUAUAACAAAAAUGUUUUAUGAUUUUGCUUUUAGUUCUGUUUUUUAUUUCAGAAUUGACAUGGAAAUGUUGAUGAGUUUUUUUUUGUUGCAACGUUAAUUAGCUAUUGAUCCCUCGGCUAACGAGUUGUCUAUAAAGCAUGACUUUAAGUUUUUUUUAUAUUAAUUAGAAUUAUAGAAUUAUUGACUUUAAUUUGCCGAUGUGGAAGCAUAUAUAAGGCAUGGACGAAGGUAAUUUUUUUUCCGUACAAUUGUAAUAAAGUUGUAAAUGUUUUUAUUUGAUUAAAUAUUUAUUUGAGAUGUUUUUUUAUUCUAAUACUAGGUCAUUGGGUUGCUGAUGAAAUAUGGGCAUCUUAUGUUGAAACCUUGGUGGCAUGUUUCUUCUAUGAUUUCCUAAUAUCUAAAAACUAAAUUCGCCAAUUUACGUUAUCAUCAUUGCAACUAUUAAUAUGUUGGUUUUGGUCGUAUAAGAUUCUUUUACUUUGUUAUGUUUUAAAAUCAUUUUUGAUAUUUAACUUAUUCAGAUUUUAUGUAUUAUCUAUAAUGCUUUUGGAUUUUCAACUUUGUUCUGUGAAAAUUGCAACAGGAAAAGUAUGGUAUUUUUCCAUUCAACAAUUAUGUAGAAUAGAGAGAUUUUAAUCAGAUUCCAGCCUCUUAAGUCUUAAUGCUUAUGAAAUGGAAAUUUCAUCAGGAAAAGUAUGGUAUUUUUCCAUUCAACAACUAUAACUGUAUUGCCUGACACUUAAAUGCUAUACACCAAUAAUUACCGUGUUGAAAUAUUUGCAGAAUUUUACAAAGAACCCUCCGUGGGUCGUGCUUAGCACGGCCUUAGACGUCCCUAGUAUAUAUAUAUAUAUUUUGUGUUUCAAUCACGUACUAACUACCUUUAGACUAGCUGGUUAUCACAUUUUUCUCUUUAUGCUUUUCUCAUAAUGAAGGGACCUGAGUUUGAUUCCUUUCUCAGUAGUCUUUGUAUGCACAACAAAAAGUUUUAUUCCUAUAUACUAUGAACUUUUUUAUAUUUUUCAUCACUCAUAGAUAUCAUUUAUGUACAAAAUAUCACUUUCGACUAUUAUUUUUUAUAUUAAUGAUGUUUUGUUUUGUUAAACCUUUUUUAUACUUUAACUGUAACAUUAUUCUACUAAUAAUAUUUGUUAGAAACCAAUCUUUCCACAAAUAAUAAUAAUAAUAAUAACGCUCCCAAACCCUUGGUCGCUGUCGGCUUAUUUUCCGAUCACCGUUGCUAGGGAGUGGCUGUUUGUUCUUGAAUUUAAUAUAGAAGCGAGAUGGAGACCUGAUGAUGAAUGGGCUAGGAAUUGGGUUUGGAAGGACAAAACAGGGAACAAUCUUCGAACCAAGGGAGCAACCACAUGAUAUUACUCGGAAGAAUUACCAUGUAAGUCCUGAUGUUUCUUCCUUUUAUGUUACGAAUUUUCACAAUUCUAUUAUUCCGAAUGAUUUGUGGCGUACAUGUGAUUGUCUUGGAAAAGCUGUGGAUGUUUUUAUUGAUAAAAAGAGGUCUUGAAUUGGGUAAAGAUUUGGAUUUAUUAGAUUUACGGGUGUUCACAAUGUUGAUCAUAUGGUUAAACAAUUGUGUGAUGUUUGGUUUUGCUAUCACAAGCUCUUUGCUUCUAUUCCAAGAUUUUUGAAAUUGGAUACUUCUUUUUCAAAGCAACACAUGGUUUCUUCUAAAGUUGUGAAGAUCAAACAGAGAUGUCAUUGAGUUCUUAAGCAUCAAACAACUUUUGGGCUUAAGUUCUUGAGUUCUUCAUCGAAACACAUCAUGUGUGUGUUCAUCGAAAAAGUUCAUGUUUUACCGUAAAAAUUACAUUUAGCCGGUUGAACAUACAAUAACCGGCCAUAAUGAUAUUUUUUUUAAACAAGUUCAAUGGUAAGACGUAUACCAAAAAAAACUAUAGCGACUAAGGUGGUGUUUGUUUUUUUGACAAAAAUGUCUUUUUGACCUCUUAUGUGUGUGGGCAGAAAAAUAUUUAAAAAAAUUAUUAUUAUUGUUAGAAGACAAAAGACAUAAAAAAGUUUUUUGAUAUCUUUUUCCAGAAGAUCAAAAAUAACUUCUUAUUUUGAAAGACGUUUUCUAAGUUAUAACACUAAUGUGAUAUUUUUUUUUACUACUACCACUAAUACCGCCACCACUGCUACGACUACCGUCGUCUCCAUCACCACCAUUGUCGUUGUCGUUACCACCACUAUUGUCGUACUGCCACUAUCGUCUUUACUAUUACCACCACCUUUGCCGUCACCACUACCUCCGUCUCUGCCACCACUUUGUCCAUACCCUUAACUCUGCCACCACACCAUCACCACCCCGCCACCUCUUCAGAAACAAACACCAUCUAAAUGUUUAUAGAUAGCAUAAUUUGUUAUCCUUACAAAAUAUUGAUUUAAUGUUUAUAAAAUAUAUUUUAUUUGUUUUUUGGUAUGUUUAACAACUUUGUUUACUUAAGAUUUUAUUUCACUAAUUUAUUAUGUUUAAAUUUCAAAGCUUUAUUACUUUAUGUGAAAUAAUUUAGAGAAAAUGACUUAGGAGGGUAACUACUUCUUAUGUCGGUUCACAUGUUGGCAACAUCUUUUAUUUUUGUACACGUAAAACCAACUAACUUGUUUUAUGUAUUCAAUUUACAUCAAUAUUACCGGCUAAUACAUGUUUUAACUGGUUGGCUCAAAUUAACUCACUUAAAAGAAAUUAUGUGGCAUCUUACAUGUUCAUUACACCCUUUUGUCCGAAAUCGACUUCAUUUAAUUAGGUUCCUCACAAUUACAACCAAAUCUUUCCCGAUUAAUUAAGGUUUCUCAGAAAUCAAUCGAUCGAAGCAAUAGGAGCUCAUUGUUUGGAAUUGAAGUUGGGACUUGAAACCGUGGACUGUAAAUCUUACAAUAGAUUUUCACUAUAAUGGAAUGUUUGCACCAAACCCGUUAGUGUACUUAGACGCUAUAAGAAUGUCGGUUCGUGAUGUGGAUUUUGGUACCAUGAACUAUAGAGAAUUUGUGUUGUGGGUUACAAAGCUGACUAGAGAAGGUGUGGAAAUUUGUGCUAUUGUAAUAGAAAUGAAACAUUGGCAUGAGGUAUUAGAAGAAUCGACAAUGAUGCUGAUUAUUUUGAGUUUGUUGAAGAUGGUUACAUGCCUAAGAACGAGCUAAAAAUGAAUGUCUACAUUGACCACCAAAAUGAACCUAUUCUUGACUGGGGCGAUAAGGAGGUGUUAACAGGUGAGGAGGUGUCUGAUUUGGUAGAAGAUGAUGAUACGGACUCACACAUUUCAAAUAUAAUGGAAUGUGAGCAUGAACCUGAUGAAGAGGUGCAUACAUUUGACAAUACAAUUGAUGAUGAAGUUUUGAACACUACUAGAAAAAAGACCUUUUACGACGCGCAAAACACGACGCUCUUUGAUUUAUGUUACGCAUUAGAGAGCGACAUUAAAAAAGUGUCAUCUCUUCAAAAAAUUUAAGGAUUUAGGUCGCGCAUUACUGAGUGUCCUUAAAUUAGUGUCUGAUGUAAAAAUAUUAAAAACACGGAGGGCACCUAUAAUAAAAAGGGCGUCCUCUACAAAUGUCGCUUUAUAAUUUUAAUAAACACGCGUUUCUGGGACUCAGGGGGGAAACUAAAUCCCCCAAAAUUUUGAACACCCGCUUCCUCUUCCUCUCUACUCUCUACACCCGCCAAAUCAACUUCAUUCUCUCCCUUCUUUCUCUCUGCAAACCCCUUCUUCUCCGAUCGACUUUCACUUCCUUCUAUGUGCAAACCCUAAUCAAACAUAACACAUUUGAAAUAGUAAUAUCUUCUUUCAUUUUCUCCCCUACUACUCUCUGUAAAACCUAGCAGCCGCCACCACUAGAAACAUGGAAAAUCCCCCAAAAUUUUGAAGUACCCCGCUCACUCCUCUCAAUAUCUCUUGCGCUUUCGUAUUUAUAGCCAGAGUUGGAGAGCGAAAAGAAGAAAGAAGAAAGAAAUGAUGUGAGGGUGUGAGGUGGCGUUCAAAGGUUGUCAAGGGGUUGUGAGGAGCUAUAGGGCUCAAGUUCGAGGUUGAAGAUUAGAAACCGAAGGUUGAAGAUCAGAUUUGGGAUUAGAUGAGUCGCUGGUACAACUGACGUCGUCGUGGUGUAGGUCAGAUGAGUCGCCGGAGUCCAGGCCAAGUAAUAGUGUCGCUGGAGUUUCGGGAAGCUAACGAUGUCAUCAAUUCGAGUGCAGGUGAUGUGCCGAUUAUUGAUUUUGGAUCAAUUACUAACUGUUUGCCAUUUUCUUUCUAGAAAAUCAAUGUAGUGUCUGCUUCUUAAUCUUGUUCUCUAUGAGUACCAUUGUUACCGUCUCUGGUAAAAACAUCUAACCAUAUGCCAGAUUCGUUGAUUCAGGCUACAAAAGUACCUGUUAAAGAGUAUGAGUUUGAUGAAAAGAAGAUGGCAAAUGUGCAGUCUCAUCUGGAAAAAUUGGUUGCCAAUAACUAUUACUUGAACAGGUCUCCAAAAGAUGCGUACAGAUAAAUAUAUUAUUCAUGAAGUGAAGGCAAGAAUAGUUGAAUGGACAAGGGCAGGCUGGUCAAGACUGGAAGCUUUACACAUUUAUAUCCAUUUUGUUGAAGAUCUGAUACCCCUCUUAUCUACAGAGCAGUUCCCAUGAUGAGCAGUUGCUUGAAGCAGCUUGGUGUCUUACAAACAUAGCUGCUGGAAAACCUAAAGAAACAAGAGCUUAAUUGCCUGCAUUACCUUUACUCAUUGCUCAAAUUGGAGAGUUCAGUGCCUGUUGCAGAGCAGUGUGCUUAAGCAUUAGGAAAUGUUGCAGGAGAAGGUGAAGAACCGAGACAAAUUCUGAUUUCUCAAGGGGCAUUACUUCCUCUUGCAAAAAUGAUGUUGCCAAAUAAAGUUUCAGUUAACGGGUGAACCAAGUUUCUCUGAAAUGGCGACAGCAUUGUCAGGGCCUCCUUAUAUCUUUGUUUCUACUCCAGCUUGUGUCCAAAGAUGUCUUUCAUCAGGUGUUCUUCAAGCAAAAUCCGUUCAUGAUUAUCUUUCAAUUAUUAUUCUUGAUAAGGCAGAUCUUAUUUUUACAUAUGGAUAUGAAAAGAAUCUCAAAGAUCUCAAAACUCACAUUCCUAAAAGAUGUCAAUGCCUUCUCAUGGCUGCUACCUCAAGCUUGAAGAAGCUUUAUCUACACAAUCCCUAUAUUCUUACUUUAGCAGAAGUUGGUGAUGGAAAGGACGAAAUUGUCCCCAAAAAUGUUCAGCAAUUUUGGUUUGGUAUAAAAUCUGCUGUGUUAAAUGCUGAAUUGCCUGUGAAUUGACGUCUACAUAUUCUUGAGGGUUUUGGUUCUUAAAUGAAUAAAGAAAACAAAUUUCCUGGGCGGGAAAGAAGCAGACAUACUUGCUGGUAAGAUGAGUAUGGUACAGUUGCAAGGGCGGGACCAGUUGCUGACAGCACAAAAUGAAAUGCUCAAGGUACUCUACUCUACUGCUUCAUCAUAUAUGUCUGCAAGUUUGGUUGGCAGUUUCCCUUAUUACAGAUGCGUUGGCUGCAUCUGGUCAGGCGUUGAUUGCUAGUUCGGUUUCAAAAGGGAAUUAUAGAUCUGUGAAGGAUAUCACAUACUUCGUGUUGACUAUUGGUUUUGUGAUGGGUGUUACUUUGGCUGCAAUAUUGGGAGUUUCAUUUGGUUCCAUAGUCACACUGUUCACUAAGGACAUUGGAGUAUUGGCGAUUGCUAGAACCGGGGUUUUGUUUGUGAGUGCUAGUCAGCCUUUGAAUGCUUUUGCUUUUACUGUUGAUGGUUUGCAUUAUGGAGUUUCAGACUUCCCGUAUGCUGCUUAUUCCAUGAUUUCAUUUGAAGUGUCUCUUGGAUUAAUAAUAGCACAAUGUUUAUCAGGCCAAAACCAUUGCAUUUUGCAAUAGUUGAUGAACUUGAUUAUGUCCUAAUUGAUGAGGGAAGAAACCCAUUGUUGAUAAGGGGUGAGGCUAGCAAGGAUGCUGCACGUAACACAGUUGCUGCUAAAGUAGCUGAGCUUCUCAUGCGUGGCCUCGUAUUUUAGUUUUUUGCCCUUCUUUUUCCUUUUUGAUGUCUUGUUAUCCAUCUCCAUUGUAUGCGUAUCUCAUUGUUUGUUCCACUACACAUCAUGUAAAUUUAUAUAUUGUAACAAAUAGAAUUGUAAGACAUUAAAUUUUAUGAAAUGGAUUAUAUUUUUUUG